GGCGUGCUUAACACAUGCAAGUCGAACGGUGAAGCUCCAAGCUUGCUUGGGGUGGAUCAGUGGCGAACGGGUGAGUAACACGUGAGCAACCUGCCCCGGACUCUGGAAUAAGCGCUGGAAACGGCGUCUAAUACUGGAUAUGACAUCAAGCCGCAUGGUUAUGGUGUGGAAAGUUUUUCGGUCCGGGAUGGGCUCGCGGCCUAUCAGCUUGUUGGUGAGGUAAUGGCUCACCAAGGCGACGACGGGUAGCCGGCCUGAGAGGGCGACCGGCCACACUGGGACUGAGACACGGCCCAGACUCCUACGGGAGGCAGCAGUGGGGAAUAUUGCACAAUGGGCGAAAGCCUGAUGCAGCGACGCCGCGUGAGGGAUGACGGCCUUCGGGUUGUAAACCUCUUUCAGCAGGGAAGAAGCGAAAGUGACGGUACCUGCAGAAGAAGCACCGGCUAACUACGUGCCAGCAGCCGCGGUAAUACGUAGGGUGCGAGCGUUGUCCGGAAUUAUUGGGCGUAAAGAGCUUGUAGGCGGUUUGUCGCGUCUGCUGUGAAAAUCCGGGGCUCAACCCCGGACUUGCAGUGGGUACGGGCAGACUAGAGUGUGGUAGGGGAGACUGGAAUUCCUGGUGUAGCGGUGAAAUGCGCAGAUAUCAGGAGGAACACCGAUGGCGAAGGCAGGUCUCUGGGCCACUACUGACGCUGAGAAGCGAAAGCAUGGGGAGCGAACAGGAUUAGAUACCCUGGUAGUCCAUGCCGUAAACGUUGGGCGCUAGGUGUGGGACUCAUUCCACGAGUUCCGUGCCGCAGCUAACGCAUUAAGCGCCCCGCCUGGGGAGUACGGCCGCAAGGCUAAAACUCAAAGGAAUUGACGG
rnacentral:rRNA from 1 species